rnacentral:rRNA from 1 species
GCAAACGUUGUUCGGAAUCACUGGGCAUAAAGCGCACGUAGGCGGUCCGCUAAGUCAGGUGUGAAAUCCCCCGGCCCAACCGGGGAACUGCACAUGAUACUGGCGGACUCGAGGACGGUAGGGGUGAGUGGAACUCCAGGUGGAGCGGUGAAAUGCGUAGAUAUCUGGAGGAACACCGGUGGCGAAAGCGGCUCACUGGACCGUCUCUGACGCUGAGGUGCGAAAGCUAGGGUAGCGAACGGGAUUAGAUACCCCGGUAGUCCUAGCCGUAAACGAUGGGCACUAGGUAGGGGAGGAGCCUAUGGUCUUCCCUGCCGUAGCUAAUGUGUUAAGUGCCCCGCCUGGGGAGUACGCUCGCAAGGGUAAAACUCAAAGGAAUUGACGGGGGCUCACACAAGCGGUGGAGCAUGUGGUUUAAUUCGAAGCAACGCGAAGAACCUUACCUGGCCUUGACAUGCACGGAUUAGCCCUGUGAAAGCAGGGCGACACCUCUUCGGAGGCGGAACGUGUGCAGGUGUUGCAUGGCUGUCGUCAGCUCGUGUCGUGAGAUGUUGGGUUAAGUCCCGUAACGAGCGCAACCCUUAUCGUUAGUUGCCAGCGGAUAAUGCCGGGGACUCUAGCGAGACCGCCGUUGUCAAAACGGAGGAAGGUGGGGACGACGUCAAGUCAUCAUGGCCCUUAUGGCCAGGGCGACACACGUGCUACAAUGGUCUGUACAAAGGGUUCCGAGACCGCGAGGUGGAGGCAAUCCCAAAAAGCAGGCCCCAGUUCGGAUUGCAGGCUGCAAUUCGCCUGCAUGAAGUCGGAAUCGCUAGUAAUCGCGUAUCAGCCAUGACGCGGUGAAUAUGUUCCUGAGCCUU